UCAUGUUUAUUUCUCUUAUAUCAGAAAAAGUUUGUUUCAGCAUGCCUACUUUACUGCUCUAAAGGGUAUUUUCAUCUCUUCAAUUCCCUAUUAUUACAACGUGUCUUUCUCCCAUGUUUUCAAUUUACACCUCACUUAUGUUCACAUCAGUUCUUUCUCCUUUCUUCAACAUUCUAUCCAGAAUGUUGGGCAUAAGAGUUGCUAAAUAUAAAAAGCGACAUGACUGAAAGCGCCUCAAAAUGCAAGAAAUAACUAGUAACCACCUUCGUUGAGCACAAGUUCUAUGGAUCCGGUUCAGCCAACAUCUAGAAUUCAGGAGAAUGUUGUUGUUCGCGGCUCUUGCUUUAUUUCCAGAAAAGAAUAUAGUACGGAAAAACAUGCGUUGAGUCCUUCCAAUCGAGUGGAAAAAUGAUUCCUCAAAGUUACAAAUCAAGGUGAAACAUAGAGAAGGCUUGACCAAUUACCUAGGAGAUGUGGAGAGAUCACAUAAAGAAGAGAGAUCGGCCAGAAAAUGUGCAACUACUCCAAAAGUAGAAGAGACACAAAUGUUUUCCUGUAGCAGAUGGAAAUAUUGUUAUAGAAUGCAUUUUACAAAGCCAGAAUUCAAUUGAUUAUACUGUAAAAAGAAAGUAUAUCACCUAUUAAGCUAAUUUGUUGUUACAUUAUAUAAUUUCUUUUGGAGUUGAGAAGAAAUUUAAAAAGCUUAUACUUAAUUGUAUCGCAUCUCUACUUGUACGUGGAACAAUCAUAAAUAUAAGAUACAACACAAUUAUUAACGAUUAUAUCUUAUUAACAUAUUUGAUCAA